rnacentral:lncRNA from 1 species
UAGUGAUCCUCAUUGAAAGGAGAUCAUAAGGUGAUUAGUGGGUUGUUGUGAACUUGAUGUACACUAGGAUUUCAAAUACAAAGGAGUCGAGUUUUCAAGCGGACAAACCGGAGUGGACAUGCGCUUGAAGGGAACGCUUUAAAGGUACGCGACUUGUCGUCUCGUUACAUUUAUACAGACAAGCUUAGUUAAAAUAUGUUUAAAGUUGAUAUAGCAAAAAUGGUUGAGUUGGUAUGUCAAUGAGGUGAUGGAAUUCACUCGACAACCAAAUGGGUCAAAUUAAUAGUUAAAAUAAUAGUGAUAAAAAAAUAGAGACACCAUUUGGUAAAAGUUAUAACGGGUCGGACAGAUUAAGAAAAUGUCUUUUAUGUAGUAAAAACUCACGGCGUGAACCGGAAUUGGUUCAAGGAGCAUGAUGAAAUUAAUAUACCAUCAUACGUUGAUAAAUGGUCAUGUCGACUAUACGGGUCAAAUGGUGUGUUAAUACCAUUUGACAUUAAUAAUUGACGACUAUUUGUUGAGUUUUGUGAUUACAGGAAAUAACAUAUGUUGCGUUGCUUUAAUUAGAAAAUUUAAAGCAAGAGGUAUGUAAACGGGUCAAUGCUAUAACCCGAGCCAGGUACAUAUAGUUAGAUUUAUAGUUGAAAGUGGUAUUGUGGUCAAUUAAUUAGUGGAAGUCCUUCGUCGCAAAUUGAGGGACUAAAAUUGACCAAAAAGCCCUUGAGGGGUAAAUAGGGUAAACAACCUUUAAAGAGUUGUUUUGAAAUAAGCGUCUUAUUAAAUUGAGUCCUUGGAAUUCGUAUAAAAAUAGUGAUAGGAUGUAAACCAAUAGAAGCAUAAUUUAAGUCUAAAAAUGUAAAAUACUCGUAACGGGUCAAAACGAGUAUAUAUGUAUAACGGGUUAAAACUUCCUAAGGAAACCGUAAAGUUAAAUCUUGAAAAGUUAGUAAACGGAUAUAACAUGAUGACCAUGGGAUUUUGAAGGAAAAUAACAAAUUAGUUUGGUAAAAGCAUGAACGGGUCAAAAGUGUCAUAUUUGAAUAUCAAGCCGAGAGCUUGAAAUCUAAAUUUUUGUGAAUUCGGAUGUUGGAUUUUAACUCCAUGUGAUGGAGAAUUAAAUAACGCGUAGGAAAAAGAAUCGUGUAAAACGGAUCAAUAACGAAUGAGUUAUGUCCGUUUUCGUGAAACUUGGGUUGGCUAGGAAUUGUACAGCAACAAAUAAAUAACUUGCUGUCAAAAAGGGGGCUAGGUGGGGCGUCUAGCCCCUAGGUGGGGCGUCUAGCCCCCCCCCUAAAUUCCAAAAAUGUUUAAUUUUGUUUGUUUGACCCAUAUAACUUGUUUAUACUUGUUAUUCAACUAUCAAAACUAACUUUUAAGUUGGUUUUGAUCAUAGGUGAUCGCUAAGAGUGCCCGGAUGAAGAUCAAGCUCGAAGAAGAACCGAACACGAUAAAGUUAAAAGCUUACGCACGGCGUUUUGUCCUAUGUCUUAAACGACGAACUCAAAUUCAUUACGAUGUAUAUAAACCUUUAUUUGUAAAAGUUUUAAAUUAACCGUAUU